UACGGAGGGCGCGAGCGUUAAUCGGAAUUACUGGGCGUAAAGCGCGCGUAGGCUGUUGUGUAAGUUGGGGGUGAAAUCCCACGGCUCAACCGUGGAACAGCCCUUGAUACUGCGCGACUUGAAUCCGGGAGAGGGUGGCGGAAUUCCAGGUGUAGGAGUGAAAUCCGUAGAUAUCUGGAGGAACAUCAGUGGCGAAGGCGGCCACCUGGACCGGUAUUGACGCUGAGGCGCGAAAGCGUGGAGAGCAAACAGG
rnacentral:rRNA from 1 species